UAGGGAAUCUUCCGCAAUGGACGCAAGUCUGACGGAGCAACGCCGCGUGAGUGAAGAAGGGUUUCGGCUCGUAAAACUCUGUUGUUAAGGAAGAAUGACAGGCAGAGUAACUGCUGCCUGUGUGACGGUACUUAACCAGAAAGCCACGGCUAACUACGUGCCAGCAGCCGCGGUAAUACGUAGGUGGCAAGCGUUAUCCGGAAUUAUUGGGCGUAAAGCGCGCGUAGGCGGUUGUUUAAGUCUGAUGUGAAAGCCCCCGGCUCAACCGGGGAGGGUCAUUGGAAACUGGGGAACUUGAGUGCAGAAGAGGAGAGUGGAAUUCCAUGUGUAGCGGUGAAAUGCGCAGAGAUAUGGAGGAACACCAGUGGCGAAGGCGGCUCUCUGGUCUGUAACUGACGCUGAUGUGCGAAAGCGUGGGGAUCAAACAGG
rnacentral:rRNA from 1 species